CACCAGCGCUGCAGUGCGCUUGGGCCAUGCCGCGGUGGACAGAGCCUGUGCGCUCAGAGGACGGCAGAUGGCGAGGUAGCGCUCCACCGUGGACGCGUUGAUGCCCACGUACUGCAGGUUCGCGCAGCUCAGGACUCUAAAUCCAGGUAUCCAGUCAAUGAAGCGCGGUGCGUACUGACCGAUCUUCGCCCCCCUAGCCUUUUUCUUCUCUCUGCUUUUCACGACCACCCCGGGCAGGCUCCUCUGCUGGAGUUGGAGUUGGAGUUGUCUGAUUCUGCUUGCACACGGGGUCAGGAGCGGCUCCACUGGGCAAGGGCGGAGGAGUCCGCGACUCGCCGGCUUCCCAACACAAUCCUGGGAUCCUGUCGUGUUUUCCCUGGCAGAGACUUCAGCCCUACUGUUGACAAAUGGGGAACCAAGGCCCGGAGCUGCGGGGAAGGAAAAGUAUUUGCCCAUCUAGACUUGGGUUGGUCCUGUGUCCUCCUUGUCACCUUUUCA